rnacentral:lncRNA from 1 species
UCAUAACAUAUGAUAUGCCCAUAAUGCAAUUGACAACAACUAGCAUUUGGCAAGACAUAAGAAGGUUGCUUUUUUUGCUCGGAUUGAAUAAUAAUAAUAAUUCAACCAUGUGGGCUGCCUAUACUCAAACAAAAUACAUCUCAUAUUUUCACUAAUGUUUUAUUUUGUGGGUUAUUGUCACGUCCCAAACCCGGGGUCGGUAAUAAAAACUCGAACCCGAAUCCAAAACGUGAGUUAAAAGCUCAAUAAAUAAAAGGAAAUUGACAUGGUUUGAAAAAAAUGAACUUCUCUUAUUAAAAUAAUUCAUGAUUCUUAAACAAAUCAAGAAUUCUUUACAACAUAUAGUAAAUAAAUGAAUAAACUUUCUCUACUCCCAUCUAAUCCAAUCUCAUCCUGCCUACCCUCUUGAAUGUCUAGUUCGUAAACCUGCAUAACAAUAGAGGGAUGAGCUUUAACAGCUCAGUAGGGACAUAACCUUAUCACAGUAAAUUGACAAUAUUAAAUUAAGUGUCAUGAAAUCAUAUAGUCAAAUAUCAAAUCAUUAUUGAUAAUAAUGCAUGAAUGCAAUGCAACCUCUUCAACUACCCCCGUUAUUUAUAUAAUAAAACACGAGGACCUGCACGUCCCAUACCAUACAUUUUACCCCUGCAGCGGUGGUUCGAAUAUUCUAUUAUAGAAACUAACCCCUAUAUGAUAUCCCAAGUUCAUAAACCCCUUUUACUAGUCAUCUUAUCUAAUUCAUUGAUCUCCAGCCCAAAUCACCCACAUCAACAAUUCUCGUCGAUAUCCUAUUCUACUGUGCACAUCGGGCUAGCCAGGAACUGGUUUCAUAAUGAAUAGAUUCAACUACACAAAAGAUCCUUUCCAACUACCCUCAUUUCCAUACUUCCAAUCUGAAUACUGAAAUUCCCAACACAUCAACAUGAAUGAUGCAUAAAUAAUAUCAAUUUAUCUUCCACAUGUAUCAUAGUAUAUUCCUAACGAAUAGCAUUCCAGCAAUAAUUCCAUAUCCAAUAACAAGUAAACAUUUAACUUAAGCAAUUAGCCAAUUAAUAUUCAAUCACAUUAAUCAACCAAAAAGAUCAAGAAUAUUAUAGCAAUUCACGAAAUUUAAUAAAAUUAAUUUCCGUAAAGGUCUUCCUUAUUUCCCCUACCUAGAUUCCAAAGCUAAAGCAAAGAUCCACCUCACUACCGAAUAGCUAAGCUUCACGUACUUAUCCAUAUCACUACCGAAAAUAGUUAAGUUCCACGUACUUGAGGAAACUCCCUGAUCGCUCUACUUUCUUUUAUUUUCUAAUCUCUCUAUAUGUAUGUGCGUAGGUAUGCAUACACGUAUGUGCGUAGGUAUGCAUACAAAUAUAUGCAUACAUAUAUAUCAUAUAGUAUGUGUACGAACAUAUCGUUAUAAAUAUAUAUAGACACUUAUAUAUAUAUAUAUACACACACAUACACACGUGAGUUGCAGAGCAUGCAUUGCAUGCUAGCUCUCCC